AAACGACGAGGUAUCCCUUCAACCCUCAACUCCCUCCUCAAACCUUCAACUCUGAAAAAUUAAUAAACCCAAAUUAUAUCAACCAAUUUCAUCAAUCAAUUAUGAGAUUUCAAAUCUCAAAUUAUGAGUUUAUUUUUAAAAAAAAAAAAUCAAUCGAACCACGCUUCUGUGUCAUUCAUCGUUGCUCUCAAAAUUACAGUUUCUUUCUCAUUUCCCUUCUCCAAAAAAAUCAUUUUCCAAUUUCUUUGUUUUUCCUUUCCUACUCCCUUCGCCAAUUCAAUCCCUAUUCAUUUCUCUACCCCCGUCUUCCUCCAGUUCUGAAUUUUCAAGUUUAAAUUGCAAAGCAGGCGAGACUAAUUAUCAGUAAUUUCGCAAAGCAUAUGAAUUCUGAAUUUCCGAACAGGUUGGUUCAAAUGAAGAGAAGUAUGUCUGUAGUUUAUCAUACAGGUAUUCUUAUAGAGAUAAAAGUGUUAUGAUAUGUUCUUAAUGUGUUGAAAGAGGGUAUGAAGAGGCAAACUAUUUCCAAAACUUGGUGCUCACUAAUCACUAUGGUGGUUCUCUGAUAGUUGUAUAAUAAUUCCAGCUGGUAAGAUGUCAUGGCUUGGGUUACAGAUGCGGGUGCAGUGGUGGUGCCAUGGUGUGACAAUCGCCGACAACGAGAGAGUGGAACGCGACAGAAUUCCUAGCAGCAAUUGCAAGUAUGAUUUUCUAAUUAAUUAAUCUCAUUCAUGAAAAGGGAGAAGCGAUUGGUGAAAUUAGAUCCAUGUGAUGAGCAGAGCUAUGCUAGCAAAAUUUACUUGGCCAUGUGUAAAGGUUCAAAAUCAUGGUAACUUUGUCGUAGGAAACACAAAGAAUGUCUCAGCAGACAACAAGACCCCUAAGUUUCAUUUGGAUCAAGAGGCAAACACGGCUUCCCUCCAAUUCAGUUUGAUGGUGGAUAAUGAUGCCAAUAUUGAAAAAGCUCUUUAUCCUGGUAAAAGGAAGAAGACAAUUCCUGAUUUACUUUAUUGGCAGUGAAAUUCAAUUAAAGAGCAGUUGAUUAAUUUUGAAAACGUGACUUCUAAAGGAGAAAGGGAGAAAGCAGAGAUCCCAAAAUUUGAUGAAAAAUGUUUCUUCUUUUUGUCCCUAUGCCCCCAAUGAUUAUAUAUGUAGUGGUUAACUUAUGUAUGUAUGAGUUGGACUCAUGAACGCAAACAUAAAUCAAACGUAACUCAUGCAUAUUUUUAUUUUAGUAUGGUCCUUAAUUGCUAUUUUUGUUGUCACUUGAAGCUUCUGUGCUCUUUUUUAAGUGUCCUGACACGAGAGCAGUAAGACUUUUUGGCAGUGCAGUGCUACAUUUUGUGUGGUUAAUUAGUUCUUUAAGUUGAGGCAAUACUGUUUGUUAAACUAAUUCCAUUUCCAUAUAUUUCCAGCACAAUCAGUCUCAUGGAUUUUGUGAUUUAGAAUGACACAUCUCCUUCUCAGGGAGCUCUUUAUCCUGGUACUGGCUUUUGUAGUGAAUUGUCCUCAUCUCAAUGGUCAGAUUGGUUUAUGACUGUCCACUAACGAGACAUGCAUCUUCAUAAUCGAGUUUGUAGUGUUUAAUUGACUUUAAUUGAGAGCAAUAUGUAGGACUGCUUAUUCAUAAUCUGGAAGCAAAAGGGACACAAGUGGAGUCUUUUCCUACAAUUCUUGCUCCAACUUUAAGGUAGUGGCUUCUGAGAUGCCAAAAUUGCUAGAUGUGGAAGAUCGAGGAUAUUUCAUACGUUAAAUAGAUCGAAUUGAAUUUCUUCGUUAUCAGAUGGUGCAUGACUGUUUAUUUUAUGAAUGUAUUCAAUUUCAAUAAC